rnacentral:tRNA from 1 species
UCUCAGGUAGUAUAGUGGUUAGUAUUCGCGCCUGUCAUGUCACGUGACCGGUCUGAACGCGCGAGACCGGGGUUCAAUUCCCCGCCUGAGAG